CCUACGGGCAGCAGCAGUGGGGAAUAUUGGACAAUGGGCGAAAGCCUGAUCCAGCCAUGCCGCGUGUGUGAAGAAGGCCUUCGGGUUGUAAAGCACUUUCAGUGGGGAAGAAAGCCUUGGGGCUAAUACCCUCGAGGAAGGACAUCACCCACAGAAGAAGCACCGGCUAACUCCGUGCCAGCAGCCGCGGUAAUACGGAGGGUGCAAGCGUUAAUCGGAAUUACUGGGCGUAAAGCGCGCGUAGGCGGUCUGAUAAGCCGGUUGUGAAAGCCCCGGGCUCAACCUGGGAACGGCAUCCGGAACUGUCAGGCUAGGGUGCAGGAGAGGAAGGUAGAAUUCCCGGUGUAGCGGUGAAAUGCGUAGAGAACGGGAGGAAUACCAGUGGCGAAGGCGGCCUUCUGGACUGACACUGACGCUGAGGUGCGAAAGCGUGGGUAGCAAACAGGAUUAGAUACCCGGUAGUC
rnacentral:rRNA from 1 species